GGUUGUUCCAAAGGAGAGGAGGACAUCUAGGGCAAAAGCUAAAAAAAACGCAAAAAUGGCAGAUUGUGAUGAUGUCGAUGUUGGACGAGAGUGCAUUUUCAAGGGAGUCUGCAUCUACAUGGGUGAAAAUCCAGAAAACCUUGUGCACGAUUACCCGGGUAUGGAUGGAGACGCCUUCAAUGCUGCUAUUGAAAAAACCACGGUCGGGAUUUAUAAAAGAGAAUGAGGCAAGUGAAGAAUCUGAGGACAUUGGAGUUGUCCUCGAAGGCAUCAGGUUGUUAAGAGAUUUAGACAAUAUAGCAUUAGCGGUUGCUAUGCUUUUUGGACUGAUGUACGCACUGAACAUCAGCUACCCCGCCGACCUCCGGUACACCUUUGAGGUAGUACAGAAGAUAC